GUAUUUGAGACAGAUCAUUGCUUGCUUGCCAUUGUGCUCAUUCGCACAUGCUUGUGAGGGUCGCUCCCUACAAGUCGGCACUCCGGAGAUAGCCAUCGCGACAUAUGCUCGCCCGUGCGGGAUUGGGCGCCGAAAUGGGAUGCCGUGGGGGAGGCUCAUUCCUAGAGUGGGGAUGUUGACUACCACGGAGCCAUUAGGCACGGCGCAGGUCAGAUAGCCUUCGGGUGGGUCUUAUAUGAUUGGAACUUAGUGACGUGCUAUGUAAACUUUAAAACUAUUAAAGUGACAAGUGGACUUGGACUAGAAUGGUAAACAAUGACAUUUUACUAUUUAGCUUGUGGACAUCAUGAUAGUAGUAGGCUUAUACUUCAUAUACAGUUGCUUUUAUACUUAUACUACUCAUGCUAAGUAGAGAUAUCAUGUCGUAGUAAGUUAUAUUUUUACUUACAUUUCGCCUUAUUGCCUUUAUUGUUACUUACCCUUUUCUUUUCAAUUUUUGGGCCUAGUGGUGCAUUCACUGAAGUCAGUAAUCGCCCACUGGGAACUAUUAUUUAAUAGUUCUCACGCCCUCUGUUUGAUGUCUCUUUUUCAGAGCCCUCUGCACCGGCGGAGGCACGGGAUCGUGGCAAGGGGAUCGCUAGCUAGAUAGCGAGGACUUAUUUGCUUUCACCUAGGUGGUUUUCCUCUCUUUUUAUGUUGUGAGAUUGAGAGGUUUUGUAUCCACGUAUAGAGACCACCCAUGUAUUUACUUCUAGCACUUGUAUUUGGGUUUUCUCUUUGUAUUACUUUAUGUUUUUAUUUAGUGGUCUAUCGCUUAUGUUCUUUCCUGCAUUGUAGAACUUAGUCAUUUAUUAUGCUCUGAUACUCCUAAAUGUCUUUUAUUAUUGCUUUAUUUAUUGUUUUGUUUUAGACACCUUAUAUGUUUUAGACGUAUGCCCGGUCUGUGCACGUGCCGGGCGGGCUUCCGCUGAGGCCCGGGGCGUGACACACUUAUAGCCGUAGAAAACAUGCCAAAGUAGAAACAUCAAUUCUUUCACUUAAUGACAUAGUCAAAAGUCAGUAAGGGCAUCUAACAUAUAUAGGACGUCGUCUCAAAAUAAUGUCCAUACGAACUCACACGAUGAGGAAGUCAGGUCCAUCGCCCAUCUUCUUUAUUUGGUCGCCUAGCACAUGUAGUAUGAAAUACAUGCUAUAACAGAGAAUCUUAAUGAGCGUAUGUCUUUCUCAAUGUCAUAUAGAUCUUAUGUAAUGUACCGGAUUUUAAUAUAAAAGUAAAUAUAAAUAAAAAUAGUGUGAGAUACUAUUUUUAUUGGACUUGAAGAAGUAAAGUAUAAGUCGGAAAUGACUUAUGCUGAAAUCUGAAUAGAAAUAGAAGAUUUAUAAUUUUCUGUGAGAAACGGGACUGAUCUUUUAGCAGAAAAUUCACAGUGUCAGAAAAUUAUGAAAAUCUGGGAAUAUGUCGGGAUUAUUUUUAUGAGGCUAGAUUUAAAGUUUCAUGUGAUUCCAACACCCGGAAAGUGGAAAAUAAAAUCUAACUGCUAUCUGCUAGAGAUUUCAGUUCGGUAGAACUUUCGGGGACCAAAAAUGGUCGAAACUGAGAAGUUAAGAUAUCUUUCUUGUUGUUAAGUUAAACCGAGCCUGACUAUCAAAUUUGAGCGCAAACGGACAUUAAGAAGAGCUCCGGCGAAAAGUAUCGGAUUCUGAAAACUAAACUGAAAGUUGUAAUAGUGUUAUGUGGAAAGUGUUGGGUGCAAUUGUGCACAUAUGAGGAGUAUACGAAUGGGGCCCACUUGCAUCCCUCUCAUUUCCCCUCACAUUUGCAGCCCUAAGAGAAAGGUCUCUCUCUCUCUAAGCUCUCUUUCUCUCUCUUGAAGGUGGGAAGCAAGAGAAAGGGUUGGUGGAGAAGAAAGCUUGGAAGUGGGUUUUCAUGUUCUUCAUCUUCCUCCUCACCAUUGGAGCAAGCUUUUGAGGUAAGCUUAUUGCCCUUUAAUGGUUGAUCUCUAAGGUGUGAAUCAUAUGCUCUAGAAUUGAUUUUAGUGGACCCUUAAGUGCUAAAUAGAUGAUUAUUGCUUGAAUCACAAGAUUGUAUGAUGAAUUCUUGCAAUAGUUGUAUACUAGGGUUCCGAUGGGGGUUUUUCAAAAUGUUAGGGUUUGAUCUAAAUUGAACCUAUAUAAACCUAAUUGCUAGGUGUUCUGACGCGUUGGUGGCCUCGGUUCGGCAAUCCGACGAGGCUACGCGAAAAUAUUGAGGAAAAGGACCGUUUUGACUUCGUUUCCGCCUGGAAGGCCGAGACGGCGUCCAAAAAUAGCGAAACCGGAUUUCUAGUGUCACGGCAUCAUCAAGAGGUAGGUGGUGUCAUCCCGAAGCAGUUGGACUUCCCUCUAUAUCCAAGUUACAUUAUUGAUUAUAUUUUCACAUGUUGGCGUUAUGCAUGAUAGGAUGUUUGGAUAGUUGCAUUUCCACUCUUUGCAUGCUUCUUGGUAGUGUAGGAUUGUGGGCUUGACACGUGAACUUAGGAUGCAUGAGAAUAUGCAUGAUCAUAUUUCUCUUUAUUUCCGUUACUUCCUCUGACAAUUUUUUUUAUAUCCGUUCCUUUCUCUAACAAUUUCUCUCUAUUCAUUUAGGAACACCACUGACAAAUCUAUAUUUUGAAGCAUGGAUAUAAAAGAAGAUUCCGAUAAGCCGUUGAUACAAAAGAAGGCUUUUGUAACCCCCUUUACAUUCGAGAUGAGACACAUAGGAGGAGACGCGGCUCGUAAAAGCUCCAGGGACACCAAAUGAAAAGACGAUCCAAGCAAGCAUGUAAAACAAUCAAUUCGGUCUAGUUCCUGAAUACGUUGGCUAGAAUAACCUGUUAAAAAAAGAGAAUUACUAUUCUUGCCUUUUAUUUUCUCCUUUAGACAAUAGUUUUUUUAUUAAAUUAUGACAAUAGAAUUUUACAUAUUUAUCUUUCUGACUGAUUGAGCUCUUAAUUCUACAUUAAUUUAUCAUAAUGAUAAAAUAUCGCUAAUUAAUUAUUUAAUAACUAUUAGCCACCUGACUUAUCAAAUGAAUAAAUAUUUAAUUAACUACUUUAUAAUUAGUUUAUUAAUUUAUAAUCAAUUAACUAAUUUAAUAUACUUAUUCAACUAAUAACAAACAUUUAUCUUAAUUAAGGAAUUAACGUUUUAACUUAUCUAAUUAAUCUAUUAACUUAAUAUAUUACUUAUUAAAUAAAUAAUCAAUUAAUUAAUUAGCUAAUGGAUUAGUUUAUUUUUAUAAUUAAUUCCUAAUGAAUUAAUUAAAAAUUAUAAUUUUUAUUUUAUUAAUUUAAUAAAAUAUUAUUGUUUUACAAGUAUAAUUAUUAUAUAAAUCCUACUAUUGAAAACAGUGGGCUGGUGAAUGAUUCGACUAUUUUAAUAGUACUCCACGCGCACAACCUAGGGAAGAUACUAAAAUAAUUUUUAUUUACUUACUUGGUCAAGCUCGAUUAAUACAGAACAAACCUCGGAAACACUCGAACAAGGAUAAUCAACACCCGACUAAUACAGAACAAACCUUGGAAAAACGAACAAGGAUAAUCAACACCGACACUCACUCGAAGGAAAUUAACAUCACACAUACUACACUGACCAACAUACUUUUAUUCUUAACGGAUUUAUCUCCAUUUUCUUUCAAAUUCAAACCACUAUCGUUAUAGGGUGAAGCUCCACUGAUGGCAAUGUACUCAAUUACCGGAGAUCUCAAUAGCCUUGACCUCAGGCUUCUUGACCUCGGUCUUUGGCACAGUGACGGUGAGCACCCCAUUCUCCAUGGUGGCCUUCACCUCGUCCAGCUUGGCAUUCUCCGGCAGGCGGAACCUGCGUAGGAACUUGCCGCUGCUGCGCUCCACGCGGUGCCACUUGUCGGUCUUCUCCUCCUUCUCCUUGCUGCGCUCGCCGCUGAUCUGGAGGAUGCCGCCUUCCUCCACUUCCACCUUCACCUCCUCCCUCUUCACCCCCGGCAGGUCCGCCUUAAACACGUGCGCCUCGGGCGUCUCCUUCCAGUCCACGCGCGUGUUGGCGAAGGCGGAGGUGUCGCUCACGAAGCUGCUGGGACGGGACUCGGUGAGGGCGCGGAAGGCGUCGAAGGGGUCCCAGAGGUCGAGGGAGAAGGGGUCGAAGAUGUUGCUGCGCCUCACGAUCGACAUGUCUGAGCAGCUGAUUACAGACUUGCUGGUGGUUCCUAUAAGCUACUUGGGCUCUGUUCCGACAGCUGGCGACUCGCUCUCUGUUUCUACUGCGUUUUCUUUGAUGGGCGGACGCUGCUAUUUAUAGAUUUUGUGAGGACUAGUCUACCACUCUCUAGAUCGAGUUUGCUCUAGAUAAUUCGCUUUAUUAUAUUAUGGUGGGCCAUGAGGUCCUCUUCUCGCCCUUUCCGACUCUCUCUAGAAUAUGCCCCAAAAAUGAAGCUUUAUCGGGAGGCAGUGAUCAGCCUGUGUUACUAGUCAGCCUGGUGCUUUCCAGAGAAUUCUCUACUAAACGGGGUGGACAAAUGGUGGCCUCCAGCGAGCGACGGUGGUACCAAUACAUGCAUGUAACUCAUCCGGAAGUUUAUGAAUGAAAUCUCAAAAUUUAAAUUUCAAUUUCCUGUGCAUCGAAGAUCAUUAAUUUAGGAUAUCAUUUCCUCAUGAAUUGAACUAUUCCUAUUUUUAUACUGAUGUUGAUGAUGAUGAUGAUGUUAGGGGUAUAUAUAAUUGGUUCGGUUUGGUCCUGUUGGGAUUCGGUUAAAUUGAAUUGCAUGCGCCUAUAAUCAGACUCGAUUCAACGGUUAUUAUAUUGUCAAAUUGGACUAAAUUUAAUCUUGCUUUUAAAUUAGAAAGCUAAUUAGAGAUAUAUUCUAAUCAUAUUUGGAUAACACUUAUAAACCGAUUAGGACUAAUCUUUUACUUACCUAUUUGGGUUUCAUGAUCCCUUAUGAAUAUGCGAGCUAUUCUCUUAUAGAAAUAAGAAGUCCAAUUUGCAUAAAAAAUUCAUUAGUUUUGUACUUUUACAAAAGUGGGCCGCAUUUUUUAAAUUUACAUAUUCAGGCCGGAUUUUUAGUAAACUGAUCAAAAUACUCUUAUACCUUUUUCUCUCUCCUUUUUUUUCUCGCGUUCUUUUUUUUUUUUUCGCCGAAGAAGGCGACGGAGGCGAAGGCGACGGAGGCGAAGGCGGAAACGGCCCCCAUCGUCUCUGCACCUCACGCCCUCACCCUUACCCUUGCCCGCGCACCCCUCGCCCUACUUGCCUCCGACACCGCCGAGGCCGCGCUGCGACCUCUUCUUUUUUUUUCUCUCCGACCCUCCUCCACAGCCUCCGCGACCCUCCGCGAUGAUAACGAGGACGAUAAUGCGUCCUCUUCCUCCGCCUUCGCCCUCUACCUCCACUGCAGCGGAUUUUGCACCCACCAAACCCACUUCUAGGAACUUGCGUUCCCACCAUCGCCAUCGACGAAAAACAGAAAGCAUUUCUCAGCUUCGAAAAGCUCACCGGCGAGCGAUGGGGCACGCGGCCCAGCUACCUACCCCAGAGGCCAGCAGCGAGCGUGGCCUCAACGGUGUCGGAGGCGAGAAGGGCGAGAAAUACACGGGAGAAUCUCUAGAUUAGCACUUUUAUUUAUUUAAAACAAAAAAAUAAAAAAUAAAAGGCCAAAAAUAAGAGAAUAAUAAAGAAAACAAGAGAAGAAGGAAGAAGAAGAUGAAUAUACACUAUUAAGAUUAAAUUGCAUUGUUUUAAAAGAUCGUUGCACUAUUAUGAACGUAAGUUGCACUCUUUUAAAUGUAAACUGCACCCUUUAAGAUGAAAGUUACACUCUUUAAACAAAAGUUGCACUAUUUGAGAGAUAUUUACACUGUUUCUCCUCUUGUUGCACGCUUUAAGCAGAGAUAUUUACACUAUUUCUUCUCUUGUUGUACUAUUUCUCCUCUUGUUGCGCUAUUACUUCUCAGUUUACACAUCAACUGUCAUGCCCCAUGACCCGCCUAUUUGGUAGGAUUCGGGUCGUCAAUAGACAGCCGAAUGGACAGAGUUUUUCCUGUACGUUUUAGGCGUCGCAAACAAUACAUUACAAGAGGUUCCAAACAGGAACAGUAUUCAUACAACGAUUGCAUAAGAAAGGUAUCAAACAACAUAAACAACUAAGCUAUUACAAGCAUUCACAUCACAUGCUUUUUACAUAUUACAUUUUCGUUUUCUUUUCUUCCAAAUAUAAUCAAUAUUAUUACAGUAUUGUGUUCUUCUUUUCUACAACCCCUAGCUAGGCCGACUUGGGGUAAUGCUAUCUCUGGUCUCUGUGAUAGAGCGCUAUCUAUGGAGCUACGCUGUCACGCCCCGAGCCCGCCUCUUUGGUCGGUUUCGGCAUGCCAACAGACCGCCGAACGGACAGGAUUUUUCCUGUACCGCGGACAGAGUCUCCCCUGUACGUUCAAGGCGUCGGAAUCAAUACAAUGUACGAAGUUCCAACCAGGAACACAUUUCAACCAAAGAUUGCAUAAGGAAGUAUCAAAAAUAUAAAUCUACUUGCUAUUACAAACAUUCAUCUCACAUAUUACAUUUUACAUUACAAAUUACAUUCUUUUACAUUCAACUUCCAAAUACAACCUAAUUAUUACAAAUUUAUUACAAGUUUGAUACAUCUUGUUCUUUCAUUUUUCUCUACUCCUAGGCUAUGCCGACUCGGGGUACCACUAUCUAGUCUCGGUGGUAGGGCGCUAACUACGGAGCUACGCCCUUGCCUCGCACCACCGCGCCGCUCACGUGCGAAUCUGUAACACCCCAAAACAACGUGGGGUGAGAACCAACUCCAUGGUUCCCAGUGGGUACGGCCACCCAAGAAAAAAGCUCGACCAAUAGGUCCGAGGAGGCAUUACAAUCAUGUUAGUCCAAAAACAUCUACAGAUAUAUAUAUAUAUCAUCAUGUAAUUAUGCAACUAACAGAUAACAUGCCACAUGAAUAUGCAAUAUGCAAAUCAUGCAACUCAUGAAAGUAGAUUUAUUGAUUCUACUCUUUAUUCUUAACCAUUCUUUACUCUUAGCCAAUCUUUAUUGCUAAUCAUUCUUUAUAUUAUUAGCUGUUCUUUAGCGUGUGUGUCACGCCCCGAGCCCGCCUCUUUGGUCAGAUUCGGGCACGCCAACAGACCGCCGAACGGACAGGGUUUCCCCUGUACCGUGGACAGAGUCUCCCCUAUACGUUCAAGGCGUCGCAAUCAAUACAAUGUACGAAGUUCCAACUAGGAACACAUUUCAACCAAAGAUUGCAUAAGGAAGUAUCAAAACAUAAAUCUACUUGCUAUUACAAGCAUUCACAUUCAUACUUUUUUUACAUCACAAUUCUCAUUUGAUCCUUACAUUAGCUUUCACUUAACUUCCAAAUACAAUCCGAUUUUAACAUAGUUAUUACAACAUUGUUCUUACAAUUAUCACAUUUUUGGUUCUUUGCAUUUUAUACCCCUAAGAAGCCGACUCAGGGUGCUGCUAUCUGGUCUCAGUGGUAGGGCGCUAACUACGGAGCUACGCCCUUUCCUCGCGCCGCCGCGCCGCUCGCGUGUGAACCUGUAAAACCCCGAAACAACGUGGGGUGAGAACUAACUCCAUAGUUCCGGAAACUGGACUACCAGCUCGAGAAGGGAACCCACCGGCAUGGGUGAAAGGCAAACAACAUGUUAGUACAAUAGAUAGAUAUGAAAUCAUAAAUCAUGCAACUAACAUUACCAUGCUUUUGCCUCACAACAUGCAAUAUGCAAAUUAUGCAACCCAUAUAGUAGAUUAAUUGCUUCGACACUUUAUUCUUAUCCAUUCUUUACUUUUACUCAUUCUUCACUUUACUAGCUAUUCUUUAGCAUUAACCCUUCUUUAUUCUUUAUUACUUGUCAUUCUUCAGCAUUAGCCUUUUCUUAUUCUUGAUUCUUCAUUCUUUAUCCUUUACGCUUUACUAAGGGUACUCACACCUUAGUAAUAUUAUACACAUUAGCCUUUCUUUCCUAAAGUUACUUUACCUUAGCCAACUUUGCCAUCCGACUCGGUCUUGAGUCAAUCAACUGCGGAUAGUCCGCGCUCUAUCCGGCUCGAGGUGAAGGAACUCUCACAUACACCUCAGCCUUCAAUCACAAACCACAUCGCCCAACGGGUCACCCAGAGCUGCGUACACCCGUGGUCAGGGAUCCCCCGGUGGGAGAGGAACAUGCCGCAUACACCCGCAGCCGAGAUCCCCGAUAGGGAGAGGAAUAUGCCACAUGCACCCUAGCGCUCAUCAUUCUUGCUCAUUAACAAGCCUCGAAGUUCUUCCGGUGGGAGAGGAACACGCCACAUGCACUCGCGGCCAAGAACUAUCGAGCUUGUAUGCUGCACUAGCAGCAGGGAUUCUGGAAUCCACUUUACAUUACUCAAGGGUUGGUCUCACCCUAUGUUAUCGACCUAUCUAGGUCCAAACCUUUACUCAACCUAAAUUAAUACAUUAGGUUCAAUGUCAUUAUCUUCUUAGCCUAGGUUCAUUGACACUAGGUCCAACAUUCUUUAUCACCUAAGUUCAUUUGACUCUAGGUUCUAUAUCAUUACAUUUACAACCUAGGUUUAUUUGACUCUAGGUUCAAUGCCACUCAUAUUCUUGUUUUCCUAGUUGCCCACACCUAGAAAUUAUACUUAACAUGCCACUCGUGAAUAACCUAUGUUCAUCGACACUAGGUUCAUUAUUACUUUUGUUUAACCUAUGUCCUUGACACUAGGUCCAAUGCCACUCGAUCUAUAGGUGCAUUUAUGUCCACUUACACAUAUUCUUUACUUAGCAUUCUUAUCUUAUCAUUAUGCAUUUUCACUAGCAUGCUUUCUACUUUACGUUAACAUGCAAUGCCACUUAUCUCAUGCCUUUAGCUAACAUCAUUCGAUGCAUUUUCUUAGCAUUCUUAUUUAGCAAUUCUUACAUUAUGUCAACAUACAUUCUUUUAGCAUUUCUAUCAUGCGUCCAUUUCUAAAACAUGCAUCUAGCUCAUGUUACUUGAAAUUUAACUCAUACAUUUAUCUAGCAUAUGUCUUACAUACUCCUUUAGCGUUUAGCUCUUACAUUCAUUAGCAUACUUUACAUACAUUUACUUAGCAUCCAGCUCAUGUCGUCAUAUGCAUUUAUUAGCAUCAUUAUGGUACAUUCUUAAUUGGCAUUCUUAUUAUGCAUUCUUACUUAACAUUCUUAUCAUGCAUCAAUAGUGAAACACACUACACUUUGGCAUGAAGGCGACCUAGUCGCUUCGGUAAACACAACCCACCUUUUAACGCUUUCCGAUUGCUUGUCGUCACUUGCAAUCGGCCUCCCGCGGCACCCGUGACCCGGUUUGGCCCAAACUCUUGCGCGACCACCCGAACGGCCACCAAUCCGCGAUCCGUCUGUUCGGGAGUUUAUUCCCCGACACCACGAUGCUCCCGAUCCAUUUUCAUGAUUUUUGGAGGCUUAUCCCGCGUGCUGCGGCUAUCUGUACCAAAACAGAUUGUUUCGUCAAUAACUUCGCGUACACUCGUCGGAUUGUCGAACCGAGCGCACCAACGCGUUCGUUAUACCCCCAAUUAGGUUUGUAUAGGGUCAAUUGAGAUCAAACUCAACUAUUUACAAAAACCCCUUUUUGGAGCCCUAAAUGCAAUUAUAGCAAAAUGCCCCAUUUCAUCUCAUGAAUCAAGCAUAAACCAUCUAUUUAGCAUGCUAAGAUUCCAUUAAAAUCAUCUUUAGAGUAUAAGAACUUAACCCUAAAGAUCUACCAUUAAAGCUCCAAGAAGCUUACCUCAAGAAGCUUGCUCCAAGGUGAAGAAGAAGAUGAUGGAGGGAAGCUCUCCACUUGCUUCACCUUCUUUUCCUUUUCUUCUUCUUCUUUCUCUUCUUCUUCUUCUCUUCUCCUUUCCUUUCUAGAGAGAGAGAGAGGAGGCUUGGGGGAUGAUACGGUGAGGGAGAGGGAGAGAGAGAGGUUCUAAUCCUCUCUAUACAUAUAACUCAUGCAUAAAAUGCCAACAAGUCCCUCAACAAUCCUCUUCUUGCAUCAGCCCAAACUGGGCAUUUUCGGGGUUCUGAGACCGGUCCUUGCGGUGAGAGACCGGUCCCCGAAAGGCCAGAAUUCCAGACUUAGCCAAUUUUUCAGCAUUUUCAGCCUUUAUCCUUUUUCACUCCGUUUUCGCUCGUUUUCGCUCGUUUGACCUCCGUUUCUUUUCAAAUCGAACCGAGACUCUCCAAACAUGUUUUCAAGCAUGUUUUCAUCAUCUUUUCAUCCACGCUAAUGCCGGAUUUAGUCCAUGGUCCAUCAUAGCCUUUCGGGUCCCGUUUUCGCGCCCUAUGCGCACCGAAGCACCCGAAUGCUCCCGAACUUCGCCGGAACGAUUCUAAUGGCUUUCUAAGCUAACAUACAUCGUAACUUCAUGAAUUAGAAGUUCGGUAUAUUACAUUCUCCACCCCUUAAAAAGAGUUUCGUCCGCGAAACUCAAACCACACCUCAAUUCAGCUCCUCGAGCAAUUGAGGGCACUAAUGCACUUUUACACUUCGGAAGGCUUUACACUCUUUGGAACUAUCCAAGAGGACUACUACGGAGCUCAUGAUACAAAACGCAUCCAACUUUGUAAGGCACAUCUCACAAAGUGCAUUACGGUCUCCGUCACUCUAUGUGGUAGCGCAAGUCGAAACUCGACGACUCUACGCGCUCCAACUCCACUUGCCACUUGACAAGCAAGAACUCUUCUUUGCAUUUACUUCCCCUUCAGGGAAUGCAUUUCAAAUCAAUCACCGACAUUGCCUAAAAGCAAUAUCAUCGGUGCAUCGCUUUAUCGUGAGUGCUCUAACUCCGCACCGACUUUUGCUCUAAUGUGAGAUGGCCCACUUCAGCACAUCCCCACUUCCAAUCCUCAAAUUCCACGUGGCUUGCCAUAAGCUCAAGGUCUCUCCAAGAGCACUUCAUCACCUGAUACCAUAUGCCACGGUCAACACCACAUCACCUUCGCAACAACUCACACGAACACUUCGUUCGUGAAUUCAAGUCAAACUCCUCGAUAAGGCUAUCUGCCAAAUCGCUUUCCUCGGUCUUCAUUGGUGGUCCAAAGGCCACCAAUACUACGUAGGCCCACAGCCUAAACCUGUCUCAAUAUACGCGCAGCGCCUCUCGCUCGCAAGCGUAGACCCAAUCAUCACUGGGGCGAAAUUCUCACUUGGGAAUUCACACACACUCCAACCAGGAGCAACUAAAAUCCCAAACCAUUACAAAUCCUUUGGUUGGGUCACAAUCGUACUCUCGGUAUUCUCUCAAUCGCAUUACACGCUCUAUCGAGCAAUGCGUGUCACUACCGGCUCCUAUGCACCUAGUGCGAGCCACUAGCCCCACGAGUGAUUCAUGGCACACUUCACACUGGGCAAUGCCCAAGUGCUAUUGCAAACAAACUCACUCGGCAGAUCCAUAUUCGCACUCCACGAGUACCUAUACUCGAGCGUUGUACGCUACUAUAGCGUGCUACAAUAAGCCUGGGUUUUGGGCAAUCUUGCCCGAGCACAAUGCAACCGGUCUCACCCAGAGGGACCGGUCUCUCGGGGAUCGGUCUCUCCCGCAGGGACCGGUUCCCGAGAGCCUGUUUUCUUGAACUUAGCCAAUUUUUCUCCUUUGCUGGGCUUCUCACGCGUUCGGGGACCGAUCUCUCCAGCAGGGACCGGUCCCCGAGAGCCCAAAAACUACAGUUUGCAGAUUUUGAUUCUUAAGCUCUCAAAAACCUCCCACAAUGCACUUUUACUCAUUCUAACGCCUUCGGUCUUUCCGAAGCAUAGCAACCUCGCACUUCGAUCAAUUUGACUAAAGUUCGACAUUUACUUUCCGAAUUCUUCGGCAUAUCACAUUCUUGGUCCUUACUAUACUACUACAUAAAUAGUAGUAAUUAACUAUAUACUCAAUGCAUGUGACGCUCCAACUUUACAUCAUGCCGAAACACAUAACUGCAUGAAUAACUCAUACCUGCCACGACGUCGUCAGCAGCAGGUCCCACAAGCUGGGUCGCGUGUCCAUAGCCACUUGGCGCCCGCCGCGGACCCCUCGGUUGCAUCACUGUCAUCGCUCGCUCUCCCGACCGUGCCGCAGGUGGCACACCCGCCGGCUGUCCCGGAGAGGAAAAAGCCGUCGCCAACACUAAGGCCCGGCUAUCACCUUGCGGACACUCAUCCCGCAUAUGGCCUGGCUGCCCACAACGGAUACAUCUUCCAUCACGCAGCGCACACCGCCGCGCCUGGUGGGUACCACCACAAAUCACACAACCUGGGGAGGAUCGAGUAGAGGACGUCUUCGAGUGGCGCCUAGAACUUGACUGCCCACCCGAACUGUUCGACAAUUGCCUCACCCCUCCCCGCUCAUGCUUAUGAGAUUCGCGCUCCUCAUGCACGAAAGCCUCGCCAUGCUCUGCCCACAAUGCUCGGUCCAACACCUCCGCGAAGGUUGUGAGCUUGAGGAUUUGCACCUUCUCGUAAAUAUCUGGUCGAAGUCCACGUAAGAACCAAUCGGCCAUAUCCUUGUCAUCCCGUACCACAUCCGGGACACAAUUCACGAUACGGGAAAACUCCCGUUCGUACUCCCGCACUGAGCGGUCUCCUUGACGCAGCUUCCUGAACCUGUCCUGAAGCUUUCGCUUUUCACUGUCGGGGAAGUAAGCUGAGAAUACCAAUCCCCGAAACUCAUCCCAUGCCAUAGGAGGAAGACUAGGCGAUCGGUUCCGCCGAAUGCCUUUCCACCACACCUUCGCCGAUUGCUUCAAGCAAUGCACGGCUAGGGGUACCUUGUCCCGCUCCAAUGUGUACAGCUCCUCAAAGAGCGUUUCCAUGGAGUCAAUCCACAUAUCCACAAUCCAGGGAUCAACAUUCUCUCCAUCGAAGGUAGGCGGAUCAAACUUUACGAAGGUCAUGAGGGCCGCCAAAGCCCGCUCUUUCUCCGCCUCCGCCAAUGCACUUUCGGGAGUCGGAUCGCCCGACCCCGACGGAACCAUCUCUGCUGCAAGCCCUGCCCGUCCUCGACGAGCCGCAACUGGCGCAGCCACUAGCUGCUCCACGGUCUCUUGGAGUCUCUUGAUCCGUUCUUCCUGGCGCAUAGCAGCCUCCUGCUGACGCUGCACUACGCCCACAAGCAUUCCCAACUGUUCGCGGAGCUCCGAGUCUCCUCUCGCUCCGGAUUGCUCAGGAACAUCACUUGUCCCAUCCCGCGUCGAUCUAGCCGAAGAUCGCCUACGCGGUGCCAUCGUUCCCUGACACAUGACAACUCGAUUAAUUCUCAACCUUCGAGGUCGAGUACAAAACAUUUAACAUUGACUCAAAUCGGGCGAAAGUUAUACAAGGGCGUCUAUUCUCAUCACUCGGUUUCAUGUUGUCGUACGCCCAACAUGAACACACUCGGUUGAGAAUAAACCACACCUUGAAUCUACCUCUAACAUCCAUUAUAGAGGUUUACCACAUAACCCAAUCAUUAACCUUUCGCCACAAGUCUCCAGUCCUCGUCUCUCACGAGCCUUAAUCUCCUAUGGUUUACUAUCCUAGGGUCUCCUAGGUCAAGCUAAACCAUUUUCUUUAAACUCUUUUAUGUUCUUUUUAUGUUCUCUCUAUGUUCUCUUUAUGUUCUUUUUAUGCUCUGAUACCAUCUUAUCUGUCACGCCCCGAGCCCGCCUCUUUGGUCGGAUUCGGGCACGCCAACAGACCGCCGAACGGACAGGGUUUCCCCUGUACCGCGGACAGAGUCUCCCCUGUACGUUCAAGGCGUCGCAAUCAAUACAAUGUACGAAGUUCCAACCAGGAACACAUUUCAAGCAAAGAUUGCAUAAGGAAGUAUCAAAAACAUAAAUCUACUUGCUAUUACAAGCAUUCACAUUCAUACAUUUUUACAUCACAAUUCUCAUUUGAUUCUUACAUUAGCUUUCACUUAACUUCCAAAUACAAUCCGAUUUUAACAUAGUUAUUACAACAUUGUUCUUACAAUUAUCACAUUUUUGGUUCUUUGCAUUUUAUACCCCUAAGAAGCCGACUCAGGGUGCUGCUAUCUGGUCUCAGUGGUAGGGCGCUAACUACGGAGCUACGCCCUUUCCUCGCGCCGCCGCGCCGCUCGCGUGUGAACCUGUAAAACCCCGAAACAACGUGGGGUGAGAACUAACUCCAUAGUUCCCAGUGGGUACGGCCACCCAAGGGAAGAGCUCGACCAUCAGGUCAAAGGAGGCAAACAACAUGUUAGUCCAAUAGAUAGAUAUGAAAUCAUAAAUCAUGCAACUAACAUUACCAUGCUUUUGCCUCACAACAUGCAAUAUGCAAAUUAUGCAACUCAUAUAGUAGAUUAAUUGCUUCUACACUUUAUUCUUAUCCAUUCUUUACUUUUACUCAUUCUUUACUUUACUAGCUAUUCUUUAGCAUUAACCCUUCUUUAUUCUUUAUUACUUGUCAUUCUUUAGCAUUAGCCUUUUCUUAUUCUUGAUUCUUCAUUCUUUAUUCUUUACGCUUUACUAAGGGUACUCACACCUUAGUAAUAUUAUACACAUUAGCCUUUCUUUCCUAAGGUUACUUUACCUUAGCCAACUUUGCCAUCCGACUCGGUCUUGAGUCAAUCAACUGCGGAUAGUCCGCGCUCUGUCCGGCUCGAGGUGAAGGAACUCACACAUGCACCUCAGCCCUCAAUCACAAACCACAUCGCCCAACGGGUCGCCCAGAGCUGCGUACACCCGUGGUCAGGGAUCCCCCGGUGGGAGAGGAACAUGCCGCAUACACCCGCAGCCGAGAUCCCCGAUAGGGAGAGGAACAUGCCACAUGCACCCUAGCGCUCAUUGUUCUUGCUCAUUAACAAGCCUCGAAGUUCUUCCGGUGGGAGAGGAACACGCCACAUGCACCCGCGGCCAAGAACUAUCGAGCUUGUAUGCUGCACUAGCAGCCGCUGCACUAGCAGCAGGGAUUCCGGAAUCCACUUCACAUUACUCGAGGGUUGGUCUCACCCUAUAAUAUUGACCUAUCUAGGUCCAAGCCUUUGCUCAACCUAAGUUCAUACUUUAGGUUCAAUGUCAUUAUCUUCUUAGCCUAGGUUCAUUGACACUAGGUUCAACAUUCUUAAUCACCUAGGUUCAUUCGACUCUAGGUUCCAUAUCAUUACGUUCACAACCUAGGUUUACUUGACUCUAGGUUCAAUGCCAUUCAUAUUCUUAUUUUCCUAGUUGUCCACACCUAGGAAUUAUACUUGACAUGCCACUCGUGAAUAACCUAUGUUCAUCGACACUAGGUUCAUUAUUACUUUUGUUUAACCUAUGUCCUUGACACUAGGUUCAAUGCCACUCGAUCUAUAGGUGCAUUUAUGUCAACUUACACACAUCCUUUACUUAGCAUUCUUAUCUUAUCAUUAUGCAUGCUUUCUACUUUAUGUCAUUUUAACAUAUUCUCACAAUAUGGAUCAUACAUUUAGCUCAUAUGUUUACUUAACAUACAUCUCAACAUGCCUUUAACAUUUUACUCAUGCUUCAUCAAACAUUUCUAUAACAUGUCACAAGCAUUAGCUUAGUGUUCUUACAUUAUGUCAAUAUGCAUACUUUUAGCAUUUCCUAUUAUGACAACAUGCAUUUCUCAACAUACAUCUUAUAUGAUCAUUACUUGGCACAUAUUACAUGCAUUACUUAACAUCUAUCACAUGCAUUCAUUCCUUAGCAUCUUUAUCAUGGCAUUGUAUACAUUUAUUAGCAUCAUUAUGGUGCAUUCUUACUUAACAUUCUUAUUAUGCAUUCUUACUUAACAUUCUUAUCAUGCAUCAAUAGUGAAACACACUACACUUUGGCAUGAAGGCGACCUAGUCGCUUCGGUAAACACAACCCACCUUUUAACGCUUUCCGAUUGCUUGUCGUCACUUGCAAUCGGCCUCCCGCGGCACCCGUGACCCGGUUUGGCCCAAACUCUUGCGCGACCACCCGAACGGCCACCAAUCCGCGAUCCGUCUGUUCGGGAGUUUAUUCCCCGACACCACGAUGCUCCCGAUCCAUUUUCAUGAUUUUUGGAGGCUUAUCCCGCGUGCUGCGGCUAUCUGUACCAAAACAGAUUGUUUCGUCAAUAACUUCGCGUACGCUCGUCGGAUUGUCGAACCGAGCGCACCAACGCGUUCGUUAUACCCCCAAUUAGGUUUGUAUAGGGUCAAUUGAGAUCAAAACCCCUCACAAGCAAAAGCCCUCUUUUUGGAGCCCUAGAUGCAAUUAUAGCAAAAUACUCCAAUUCAUCUCAUGAAUCAAGCAUAAACCAUCUAUUUAGCAUCAAUGGGUUCCACUAAAUCCAUUCUUAGAGCAUAUAACCAUAGCCAUGAAGAUCUACCAUUAGAGCUUCAAGAAGCUUACCUCAUCUAAGCUUCAAACUCAAGGAAGAAGAUGAAGAGGAUGAAGCUCCAUCUCCUUGUCUCCUUCUCCACCAAUCUCUCCUCCUUUUGAUCCACUUCUAGAGAGAGGGAGAGAGCAUUCUAGAGAGAGGGAGGAGUUCCUCUCUCAAACAUUAUGUGUGUGUGUGUAGUGUAAAAGAGGGAAGAAGAAAGAGCCCCAUACAUUAGCCAACUUCCCCCAAUUUACAACAUUGCCAUCAGCCCAAACUGGGCAUUUUCGGGGUUCUGGGACCGGUCCUUGCGGUGAGAGACCGGUCCCCGAAAGGCCAGAAUUCCAGACUUAGCCAAUUUUUCAGCAUUUUCAGCUUUUAUCCUUUUUCACUCCGUUUUCGCUCGUUUUCGCUCGUUUGACCUCCGUUUCUUUUCAAAUCGAACGGAGACUCUCCAAACAUGUUUUCAAGCAUGUUUUCAUCAUCUUUUCAUCCACGCUAAUGCCGGAUUUAGUCCAUGGUCCAUCAUAGCCUUUCGGGUUCCGUUUUCGCGCCCUAUGCGCACCGAAGCACCCGAAUGCUCCCGAACUUCGCCGGAACGAUUCUAAUGGCUUUCUAAGCUAACAUACAUCGUAACUUCAUGAAUCAGAAGUUCGGUAUAUUACAGUGUGCUAUUCUUUGACAUUAGCCGUUCUUUAUUCUUUAGUCUUUACUCUUUAUUCUUUAUUCUUUAUUCUUUAUUCUUUACUAAGGGUGUCACGCCCCACCCCGAAAUCACUACCAAUUUGGCACAGUUCAGCUGCGGCGGCGGACCGCCGAACGGACAGCACCUCCCCCGUCCGCCCAAGGCUCCACGACAAGAAUGUGUACAAGAAUUUACCCAGAAAAUUAAAUUCUAAACAUACACACUCACAAGGGCACAAAUAGUGCCGACAAUACAAAGAGCAAGUAAUCCAUAAGACAAACAUGUGAAAUAAAGAGAGUAUUUUACUAACUAUUACAUUAGUUUCAUCGCUUUCAUUUAUAUCAUUUUCGUCCAAAAUGAAUACAAUUCUUUCAUCUCAAAAUACAUAGCUCUCAAAAUCCUCACCUACAAUAAAACUCUCAAAUACAUAGGUGUGCUAAUGCAAAAAGGAAAGCUACUAUACUACCACGGUCUCACUGAUCGGGCGCGAUGCCCUUGCCGCGGUCCUCCAUCGGCAACCCUGUACCUACCACUGGNNNNNNNNNNNNNNNNNNNNNNNNNNNNNNNNNNNNNNNNNNNNNNNNNNNNNNNNNNNNNNNNNNNNNNNNNNNNNNNNNNNNNNNNNNNNNNNNNNNNAGGGAAUGAGAGAGGAAGGCUCUCUCAGCCCCAACAUAACCCUUGGGUUGCAAAAUUGCUAAUAAACCCCUCAACUUUCACCUUAAUGCACUGCCCGAACUGGGCAGUUCGCGCAGGCAGAGACCGGUCUCCCCGAGCAGGGACCGGUUCCCGAACGUCCACCCUGCGCAGCCAGAGUCGCUGCGCGCGAUGCGACCAGUCUCUCUCUGAUGGGACCGGUCUCUGGGGGACCAGUCUCUCAGGCAGAGACCGGUUCCCGAGAGCUAAUCUUCCAGGACUUAGCCGAUUUUUCGGCUGUCUCAUUUCAUACGCGUUCGGGGACCGGUCUCUCCCACUAGGGACCGGUCCCCGAGAGCUCAAAAUCUGCAGUUUUGCAAAUUUGAUUCUAUAGCUCUCGAAAACCUCCCGUAACUCACUUUUACUCAUUUUAACUCCUUCGGGCUUUCCGAAGUGUACCGUCCUCGCACUUUGGUCAAUUUGAUCAAAGUUCGACAUUUUUAUCUUUCGAAUUUUCGGUAUAUUACAGACGAGCGUCACGAAGAUACGGAGCUUUCUUGGAUUGGCCGGUUACUACCGGAGAUUUGUCGAGGGGUUUGCUAAGCUGUCUACUCCCCUCACGAGGCUCAUGCACAGAGGCAUCAAUUUCAUUUGGAAUAAUGCGUGUGAAAGGAGCUUCCAAGAGUUGAAGCUUCACUUAACGGAUUGGGUUGUGUUUUGAUGCAGAAUGGCAAGGUGAUCGCGUAUGCUUCUCGCCAAUUAAAGGAAUAUAAAGGGAAUUAUCCUACGCAUGAUUUGGAGUUGGCAGCCGUAGUCUUUGCGUUGAAGCUAUGGCGCCACUACCUUUAUGGCGAGCGGUGUAAAGUGUACACGGAUCACAAGAGCUUGAAGUAUUUAUUCACUCAGAAUGAGUUGAACUUGAGGCAGCGCAGAUGGUUGGAGCUGCUUAAAGAUUAUGAUCUGACGAUUCUCUACCACCCGGGUAAGGCUAAUGUGGUGGCGGAUGCGCUAAGUAGGAAAUCGACGGAAAACUUAGCGAUGCAUGUUGUUACUCAACCGCAGUUGAUCGAGCAGAUGAAGCGAUUGGAGUUGGAGGUGGUGACUCCAAACACACCUUUAAGGUUGAUGACCUUGGUAGUGCAACCUACACUAUUAGAUAGAAUUAAAGAAAAGCAAGCUUCUGAUGUGGAGCUGCACAAGAUUCGAGAGAAAAUGGUUAAAGGUACCGGCGACUUCCUUGUGGAUGAUCAAGGAAUGAUGCGUUUUCGUGGGCGGAUUUGUGUACCGGCGGAUUCGAGAAUCAAAGAGGACAUUCGUCGAGAAGCACACCAGGCACCGUAUGCUAUACAUCCGGGAGGCACCAAGAUAUAUAAGGACUUAAAGUUGCUCUAUUGGUGACUCGGGAUGAAAAAGACGUUGGUGAGUUUGUUACUAGAUGUUUAACUUGCCAACAAGUAAAGGCUGAGCACCGUUUAUCCACGGGGAAACUUCAGAGUUUGCCUAUUCCCGUGUGGAUGUGGGAGAAGAUCACCAUGGACUUCGUGACUGGAUUGCCUCGCUCUCAGGCCGGCAUGAUGCUAUUUGGGUGAUCGUGGAUAAGUUGUCGAAGUCGGCGCACUUCAUACCUAUUCAUACGACUUGGUCUGGGGAGAAGCUCGCACAAGUAUACCUUGAUGAGAUUGUGCGACUUCACGGAGUGCCUACUUCGAUUGUAUCUGAUCGAGACACUCGGUUUGUGUCUCACUUUUGGAGGAGCCUGCAGGGCGCCUUAGGCACCCGAUUAAAUUUCAGAACUGCUUUCCACCCUCAGAGUGAUGAGCAGUCGGAGCGCACUAUUCAGACCUUAGAGAAUAUGCUCCGGGCAUGUGUGAUUGACUUCGAGAGAGGAUGGUCGCAGCAUCUACCGAUGGCGGAGUUUGCUUAUAACAAUAGUUAUCAAGCAAGCAUCAAGAUGGCGCCAUUCGAAGAACUUUAUGGACGGAAGUAUAGAUCGCCACUUCAUUGGAGUGAAGUUGGCGAGAGAUUGGUUUUAGGCCCUGACGUCCUCCAGGAAGCUGAAGACAAGGUUCGAAUUGCUCGGGAGCGACUUUUGACGGCGCAGAGUAAACAGAGGAGCUACGCCGAUUGACAACGGCGAGACUUCGAGUUCUAAGUUGGAGACCAUGUAUUCUUGAAGGUCUCGCCGACUAGAGGGAUCAGGAGAUUCGGAAUUCGGGGUAAGUUGAGCCCCCGUUUCAUUGGACCGUAUGAGAUCUUAGAGCGGGUAGGUCCGGUAGCGUAUCGACUUGCUCUACCACCGAACCUAUCGGGCGUGCACAACGUCUUUCAUUUAUCGGUCCUUCGAAAGUACGUCUUCAACCCGACUCAUGUGUUGUAUGCUACACCUGUGGAGUUGCGGGAUGAUCUGAGCUUCGAGGAGCUACCAAUGAGGAUCUUGGCUCGCGAGGUGCGGAAACUGCGGAAUCGGGAUAUUCCGUAUGUGAAGGUUCUUUGGAGCAACCACGGAGAGUGGGAGGCCACGUGGGAGCUGGAGAGCGCUUUGCAGGAGCGCUAUCCCCAUCUUUUUCGGAUGGAGCUUUGAGGUUUGUUGUUGCUUUUGAGUUUUAAGGAUGAAACUCCUUUUUAGGAGGGGUGAAUAUAACACACUGGACCUAUGCAAAUUGCGAGGUUCGAGUGUUUGUUUUGGGUUCCGAGCUUUUCCACACUUUGUGGAGGGUUGUAGACAGUGUUCCGACCCGUAGUUCGAAAUUCUAGAUUUUUGGCUAAGUCCUGAGAGUUUUACUCUCGGGGACCGAUCCCUGCCAGGGGAAAUUCUGGAUAUAGUUGAGGGGCUUUUCUGGAUUUUGUUACUUGUGUGGCCAGGAGGGCCACUUCCAGUCAGACUGCCCGAGGGGUCCAGCGUCAGCCCCCUCAUCGGCAUCAGCACUAGCUUCACCGGGUCCCAGCCAGGGGACGCCUUCUGCUCACUAUCAGGUCGGGAGGCCACCUGUCCAGAGAUAGAUGGAGGGGUCACGACAGGCCCCGAAAGGGCACAUGUACGCGACCCAGACCGCGGAGGCGGCAGCAGCCGAGUUUGAGGCUACAGGUAUCAGUUUGUUUUGUGGCAUUUGAGUGGUACAUUGUUUGUUAUCGGUGCAUUGCAUCUGUUCUUUGAUCAGCUAUUUGCCGAGUUGCAUGGCAUUCCGUUAGCUCGCUGUUUGCGAUGUCGAGUAGCUUCUCUCGAGCUAGGCUGUUGAUUUGCGGGUUGCGGGUAGCAUGUUUUGCUAUGCUUUGUAGAUCUCACGAUGAUUGCAUUAUUUGCAUACCUUGAUUAGCUAUUCGCCGGAUGGUGCUUGGGAACGACCGUGCCUGGACCGUUUGUGGACUGUAGAGCCUGGGCCCUUUGGGCAGGCGUAGUCAGCUGUGUGUGACAGUGGCCCAGUACCUACGGGUAGGGCAGAGUUUGGUUAGGACAGUAGUCCGAGCUUAGACCGGGAGCGUGGAAUGCCACGUGUUGGAUCGUGAGAUCGAGGAUACACCGAGUGUGUAGUGACCCAAUGUAACACACUGGACCUGUGCAAAUUGCGAGGUUCAAGUGUUUGAUUUGGGUUCCGAGCUUUUCCACACUUUGUGGAGGGUCGUAGACGGUGUUCCACCCGUAGUUCGAAAUUCUAGAUUUUUGGCUAAGUCCUGAGAGUUUUACUCUCGGGGACCGGUCCCUGGUGGGAGAGACCGAUCCCCCGUCACGUGGUUGCGGCUGUCGGCCGAGGCAACCGGUCCCUCAGCCAGAGAGACCGGUUCCUGAACGUGUGUUUUGCGAGAGGGUCCGAGAGACCGGUCCCAGGUGCGGAGAGACCGGUCCCUCAGCCCGAAAACUGCCCAGACCUGAUAGUUUACUGUUUUGAUAGUUAAGGGGUUUUUCUAGAUUUUAUUACAUUAGAGGGCCUAUAUGGCAUUUCCUCUCCCUCUCUCCCUCAUUUCUCUCCCUCACACUCUCUCUUGCACUCUAGAAAGAGAAGAAGAAGGAGAAGGAAGAAGGAGGAGAGGAAGGAGAGCAAGCUUGGAGGAGCUUUGGACAUCUUCCCCUCCCUCUUUUCUCACCAUUGGAGGCUUAGAACUUGUUGUUGGAGCUUUGUGGAGGAAGGACCUUCAACCCUAGAGCACUUUGAGCUUGGUUUGGAGCUUCUCUUGAGGUUGGUAGCAUGUAUUCCUCAUUUGGUGCAUGUUUUUCUAGAUUUUGCUAGAUGAAACCCUAGAUUUGGAUUUUAGGGUUAGAUUUGGGAAUUUUUGUUUGGGGGGGCUUUGGAACCUAAUUGAUGGGUUUAGAACUUUUGUUUAGGUGGGAUUGGAAGGACUCUAACUCCCUUUUGGAGAUCGAGAGAGUUUCCUUCGCAUUCGGUGAAUUUUUGCCCUAUUCUUGAGUUAGUUUUUGAUCGACCCCAUAGUUGUUCGUUUGCUUCUUUGGUCUCACUUUUUGAUGCUUCUAGGAUACUAGAAGGCUUGUAGACACCUUCGUCGGAGCAAACGAAGGGUUUGGAGAAGUCCGGUGGGUUUUUGACUUCAUGAAAUCGGGGCAAAAUGGUCCCUAUGUAUAUUAUACUUGUCGUAACGUCAAUUUGAUUGCGUAUUCAUGCUAAAUGGGAUUUAUGUAAAUUUUAGAACACUUAAAAUGCAUGCGUUAUAUAUUAUGAAAAUUUCACUCUAUAUAGUAGAGCUAUAUGUGUAGGCUGCAUGCAUGUGGAAUUGUUGAUCUAUGCGAGUUGAUUACAUGUCUCGUGCAAGGAAAAUGAUUAGAAUUAUGUAUUCAUGAACAUAAUUAUCAUGCUUUGACUUAGUAAACAAAAUGCUAUAAAGGGGCACCUGAACUAGUAAACUAUGAAACUGCAACAUAGAGACAGUGAUAGGCCAUUGAUAUCUACUAUAUUCCAUAUUUUAGACAUGAUGACAUAGAGAUAGGCCCUUGUGACAUUCGAUAUACAUAUUCCAUAUUUUUAGACAUGAGGACUCGGUACUUGAGACGGAUCUUAUGCUUGUUGCCAUUGUGCUCAUUCGCACAUGCUUGUGAGGGUCGCUCCUUACAAGCCGACACUCCGGAGAUGGCCAUCGCGAUACAUAUUCGCCGUGCAGGAUUGGGCGCCGAAGUGGAUUGUCAUCGGCAAGGCUCAUUCCUAGAGUGGGGAUGUUGACCACCACGGGGCCAUUAGGCUCGACACGGGCCAGACAGCCUACGGGUGUGUCUACAGGCCAGACAGCCUUCG
rnacentral:lncRNA from 1 species